ACUCAAAGGAAUUGACGGGGGCCCGCACAAGCAGCGGAGCGUGUGGUUUAAUUCGAGGCUACCCGAAGAACCUUACCUGGGUUUGACAUGCGCGUAGUAGGGAGACGAAAGUUAACCGACCUUUUAGGAGCGCGCACAGGUGCUGCAUGGCUGUCGUCAGCUCGUGUCGUGAGAUGUACGGUUAAGUCCGCAAACGAGCGCAACCCCCGGACGUAGUUACACGACUGUCUACGACGACUGCCCGUGAGAAACGGGAGGAAGGUGGGGAUGACGUCAAGUCAGCAUGGCCUUGAUAUCCAGGGCGACACACACGCUACAAUGGACGGUACAAUCGGCAGCCAAGGCGCGAGCCGGAGCCAAUCCGGCAAAGCCGUUCGUAGUUCGGAUUGCAGGCUGCAACCCGCCUGCAUGAAGUUGGAGUUGCUAGUAACCGCCGGUCAGCCAAACGGCGGUGAAUACGUUCCCGGGCCUUGUACACACCGCCCGU
rnacentral:rRNA from 1 species